CGCGGCCUAUCAGCUUGUUGGUGGGGUAAUGGCCCACCAAGGCGACGACGGGUAGCCGGCCUGAGAGGGCGAACGGCCACACUGGGACUGAGACACGGCCCAGACUCCUACGGGAGGCAGCAGUGGGGAAUAUUGCGCAAUGGGCGAAAGCCUGACGCAGCGACGCCGCGUGAGGGAUGAAGGCCUUCGGGUUGUAAACCUCUUUCAGCAGGGACGAAGCGAAAGUGACGGUACCUGCAGAAGAAGCACCGGCCAACUACGUGCCAGCAGCCGCGGUAAUACGUAGGGUGCAAGCGUUGUCCGGAAUUAUUGGGCGUAAAGAGCUCGUAGGCGGUUUGUCACGUCGGCUGUGAAAACUCGGGGCUCAACCCCGAGCCUGCAGUCGAUACAGGCAAACUAGAGUGUGGUAGGGGAGACUGGAAUUCCUGGUGUAGCGGUGAAAUGCGCAGAUAUCAGGAGGAACACCGGCGGCGAAGGCGGGUCUCUGGGCCAUAACUGACGCUGAGGAGCGAAAGCGUGGGGAGCGAACAGGAUUAGAUACCCUGGUAGUCCACGCCGUAAACGUUGGGCGCUAGGUGUCGGGGACCUUCCACGUCUUCGGUGCCGCAGCUAACGCAUUAAGCGCCCCGCCUGGGGA
rnacentral:rRNA from 1 species